GACGAACGCUGGCGGCGUGCUUAACACAUGCAAGUCGAACGGAAAGGCUCCAGCUUGCUGGAGUACUCGAGUGGCGAACGGGUGAGUAACACGUGGGUAAUCUGCCCUGCACUCUGGGAUAAGCCUGGGAAACUGGGUCUAAUACUGGAUAUGACCUUUCUCCUUAUGGGGUUUGGUGGAAAGUUUUUCGGUGUAGGAUGAGCCCGCGGCCUAUCAGCUUGUUGGUGGGGUGAUGGCCUACCAAGGCGACGACGGGUAGCCGGCCUGAGAGGGUGAUCGGCCACAUUGGGACUGAGAUACGGCCCAGACUCCUACGGGAGGCAGCAGUGCGGAAUAUUGCACAAGGGGCGGAAGCCUGAUGCAGCGACGCCGCGUGAGGGAUGACGGCCUUCGGGUUGUAAACCUCUUUCAGCAGGGACGAAGCGUAAGGGACGGUACCUGCAGAAGAAGCACCGGCUAACUACGU
rnacentral:rRNA from 1 species